rnacentral:ncRNA from 1 species
CUUUCUUAGAGAAACGCAAAAGGCGAAAGGAG